rnacentral:rRNA from 1 species
CCCAGACUCCUACGGGAGGCAGCAGUGGGGGAUAUUGCACAAUGGGGGGAACCCUGAUGCAGCGACGCCGCGUGAGUGAAGAAGUAUUUCGGUAUGUAAAGCUCUAUCAGCAGGGAAGAAAAUGACGGUACCUGACUAAGAAGCCCCGGCUAACUACGUGCCAGCAGCCGCGGUAAUACGUAGGGGGCAAGCGUUAUCCGGAUUUACUGGGUGUAAAGGGAGCGUAGACGGCAAUGCAGGUCUGGAGUGAAAGCCCAAGGCCCAACCAUGGGACUGCUCUGGAAACUGUGAAGCUGGAGUGCAGGAGAGGUAAGCGGAAUUCCUGGUGUAGCGGUGAAAUGCGUAGAUAUCAGGAGGAACACCGGCGGCGAAGGCGGCUUACUGGACUGUAACUGACGUUGAGGCUCGAAGGCGUGGGGAGCAAACAGGAUUAGAUACCCCAGUA